AAGGAAGAUUAAUGAAUGAUCCAGUGUACUAGCAUCCCCUAUUUGACAGCUUUAGUUCAGGAAAUUUCCCUUUAACAGGAAAGCUUCCCUUAACAGGAUCACCACCGGGAAGGUAGCUGUCAUGAUCCCAUGUUAGUGAAAGCAGAAGGGGGGGGAGCAGAAAUUAGAUGGUGCGUGCUAGAGAUGGUAGGGGUGGAAAAGAGAGGAAAGAGGAAGCAGGGAGGAGGAAAGGUAGAUAUGAAACGGUGCGUGCGAGUGACAGAAGAAAAGAUGAGGGGUGGAGAGGAAGGAAAGAGGAUGGAGGAAAGGCAGAUGUGGAACAGUGCGUGCGUGCGUGCGUGCGUGCGUGCAGUGAGUGAGUGACGAUAGACACGGGAUGAGGGCGGGGAUGGAGGGUAGGGAAGGUAGGGGGGGUGG